GGGCCCGUAGUCUAGCGGUAUGAUGCCCGCCUCACGCGCGGGUGGUCCCGGGAGGGUAGCUCCCCGGGAAUUCAAAUCCCGGCGGGCCCA
rnacentral:tRNA from 1 species